rnacentral:lncRNA from 1 species
CUGCAGGCUCUAGCUGGAAUUCAAGGGGGAAAGCAGACCGGUUGACCAAAACUGUGACCGAGGCAGGGGAAGGCCGGAGGGGGUGAUGGCAUCACAGAGGAGAAGGUUGAAAGGGGAAAAAAGAACUUCGCUUCCAUCUUGCACGCAGAUGCCUCCCCUGCUGUGGGGAGCAUAGCGUCUGCUGAUUCCAGUGAAGGGAUGAUUCAUCUGGAGCCAGCUGCUAAAUAGGACCAAAAAAUCAGUUCCGUUUUGAAGUUGAGGGCAACAUCAUGUUAAGGUAAUGAAGUGAAAUGACCCUUUCGUUCCAAUGUGUGUAUGAUGCGCGUCUUGAAGAAGACUUGAGAUUGCUGAGCUCUGUCUUUGGCAAAGCUGUAGAAAUCAACCAGAGACCUGCUUGACCAUGCUGAAGUAGCUAAGAAUGACCAACCUGACUCCUUUAUUUUAUGCUUCAGUUAAAUAAGAUGAGUUAAUUCAGAAUUGGAGUAAAUUCAGGGAAGAAGAAAGCACUAGUCAUUUUCGUGGGGUAAGUAAACCCAAUUUAAAAAUCACUAGGCAAAUACAUUCAAACUGGUUGCAUGAUUUCCUUUUGUGU